GACGAACGCUGGCGGUAUGCUUAACACAUGCAAGUCGAACGAGAAGUCUUUUAUUGAACCUUCGGGGGAUAUAAGAGACAGACAGUGGCGAACGGGUGAGUAACGCGUGGGNAACCUACCUAUCGGAGCGGGAUAGCCUCGAGAAAUCGGGAGUAAAACCGCAUAACACGGAUAUAUCGCAUGAUGAAUCCGUCAAAACUCCGGUGCCGAUAGAUGGGCCCGCGUCUGAUUAGCUAGUUGGUAAGGUAAGGGCUUACCAAGGCAACGAUCAGUAGCCGGUCUGAGAGGGCGAACGGCCACACUGGAACUGAGACACGGUCCAGACUCCUACGGGAGGCAGCAGUGGGGAAUAUUGCGCAAUGGGGGCAACCCUGACGCAGCAAUACCGCGUGAGUGAAGAAGGUUUUCGGAUCGUAAAGCUCUGUUAUUGGGGAAGAAGCAGUGACGGUACCCAAUGAGGAAGUCCCGGCUAACUACGUGCCAGCAGCCGCGGUAAUACGUAGGGGACGAGCGUUGUCCGGAAUCACUGGGCGUAAAGGGCGCGUAGGCGGUUUUAUAAGUCAGAUGUGAAAGGUACCGGCUCAACCGGUGACGUGCAUUUGAAACUGUAAGACUUGAGUACUGAAGAGGCAAGCGGAAUUCCUAGUGUAGCGGUGAAAUGCGUAGAUAUUAGGAAGAACACCGGUGGCGAAGGCGGCUUGCUGGGCAGAUACUGACGCUGAGGUGCGAAAGCGUGGGGAGCGAACAGG
rnacentral:rRNA from 1 species